rnacentral:rRNA from 1 species
AUGAACGCUAGCUACAGGCUUAACACAUGCAAGUCGAGGGGCAGCAUGGUCUUAGCUUGCUAAGGCCGAUGGCGACCGGCGCACGGGUGAGUAACACGUAUCCAACCUGCCGUCUACUCUUGGACAGCCUUCUGAAAGGAAGAUUAAUACAAGAUGGCAUCAUGAGUCCGCAUGUUCACAUGAUUAAAGGUAUUCCGGUAGACGAUGGGGAUGCGUUCCAUUAGAUAGUAGGCGGGGUAACGGCCCACCUAGUCUUCGAUGGAUAGGGGUUCUGAGAGGAAGGUCCCCCACAUUGGAACUGAGACACGGUCCAAACUCCUACGGGAGGCAGCAGUGAGGAAUAUUGGUCAAUGGGCGAGAGCCUGAACCAGCCAAGUAGCGUGAAGGAUGACUGCCCUAUGGGUUGUAAACUUCUUUUAUAAAGGAAUAAAGUCGGGUAUGCAUACCCGUUUGCAUGUACUUUAUGAAUAAGGAUCGGCUAACUCCGUGCCAGCAGCCGCGGUAAUACGGAGGAUCCGAGCGUUAUCCGGAUUUAUUGGGUUUAAAGGGAGCGUAGAUGGAUGUUUAAGUCAGUUGUGAAAGUUUGCGGCUCAACCGUAAAAUUGCAGUUGAUACUGGAUAUCUUGAGUGCAGUUGAGGCAGGCGGAAUUCGUGGUGUAGCGGUGAAAUGCUUAGAUAUCACGAAGAACUCCGAUUGCGAAGGCAGCCUGCUAAGCUGCAACUGACAUUGAGGCUCGAAAGUGUGGGUAUCAAACAGGAUUAGAUACCCUGGUAGUCCACACGGUAAACGAUGAAUACUCGCUGUUUGCGAUAUACUGCAAGCGGCCAAGCGAAAGCGUUAAGUAUUCCACCUGGGGAGUACGCCGGCAACGGUGAAACUCAAAGGAAUUGACGGGGGCCCGCACAAGCGGAGGAACAUGUGGUUUAAUUCGAUGAUACGCGAGGAACCUUACCCGGGCUUAAAUUGCAGAUGAAUUACGGUGAAAGCCGUAAGCCGCAAGGCAUCUGUGAAGGUGCUGCAUGGUUGUCGUCAGCUCGUGCCGUGAGGUGUCGGCUUAAGUGCCAUAACGAGCGCAACCCUUGUUGUCAGUUACUAACAGGUUCCGCUGAGGACUCUGACGAGACUGCCAUCGUAAGAUGUGAGGAAGGUGGGGAUGACGUCAAAUCAGCACGGCCCUUACGUCCGGGGCUACACACGUGUUACAAUGGGGGGUACAGAGGGCCGCUACCACGCGAGUGGAUGCCAAUCCCCAAAACCUCUCUCAGUUCGGACUGGAGUCUGCAACCCGACUCCACGAAGCUGGAUUCGCUAGUAAUCGCGCAUCAGCCACGGCGCGGUGAAUACGUUCCCGGGCCUUGUACACACCGCCCGUCAAGCCAUGGGAGCCGGGGGUACCUGAAGUGCGUAACCGCGAGGAGCGCCCUAGGGUAAAACUGGUGACUGGGGCU